CUGCAGCUCGAGUGGUGACCGCUAUUAUUGGGCCUAAAACGUUCGUAGCCGGCUGAGUAAAUGCUUGGGUAAAUCGUGCCGCUUAACGGUACGAAUUCCGGGUAGACUGCUUAGCUUGAGACCGGGAGAAGCUAGAGGUACUCCUGGGGUAGGGGUGAAAUCCUGUAAUCCUGGGGGGACCACCAGUGGCGAAGGCGUCUAGCUAGAACGGGUCUGACGGUGAGGGACGAAACCCUGGGGCGCAAACCGGAUUAGAUACCCGAGUAGUCC
rnacentral:rRNA from 1 species